GAAUGCUGACAUAAGUAACGAUAAAGCGGGUGAAAAGCCCGCUCGCCGGAAGACCAAGGGUUCCUGUCCAACGUUAAUCGGGGCAGGGUGAGUCGACCCCUAAGGCGAGGCCGAAAGGCGUAGUCGAUGGGAAACGGGUUAAUAUUCCCGUACUUGGUGUUACUGCGAAGGGGGGACGGAGAAGGCUAUGUUGGCCGGGCGACGGUUGUCCCGGUUUAAGCGUGUAGGUGUGUGUUCCAGGUAAAUCCGGUUCACUUUAACACUGAGGCGUGACGACGAGGCACUACGGUGCUGAAGCAACAAAUGCCCUGCUUCCAGGAAAAGCCUCUAAGCAUCAGGUAACAUCAAAUCGUACCCCAAACCGACACAGGUGGUCAGGUAGAGAAUACCAAGGCGCUUGAGAGAACUCGGGUGAAGGAACUAGGCAAAAUGGUGCCGUAACUUCGGGAGAAGGCACGCUGACACGUAGGUGAAGUGAUUUACUCAUGGAGCUGAAGUCAGUCGAAGAUACCAGCUGGCUGCAACUGUUUAUUAAAAACACAGCACUGUGCAAACACGAAAGUGGACGUAUACGGUGUGACGCCUGCCCGGUGCCGGAAGGUUAAUUGAUGGGGUCAGCGCAAGCGAAGCUCCUGAUCGAAGCCCCGGUAAACGGCGGCCGUAACUAUAACGGUCCUAAGGUAGCGAAAUUCCUUGUCGGGUAAGUUCCGACCUGCACGAAUGGCGUAAUGAUGGCCAGGCUGUCUCCACCCGAGACUCAGUGAAAUUGAACUCGCUGUGAAGAUGCAGUGUACCCGCGGCAAGACGGAAAGACCCCGUGAACCUUUACUAUAGCUUGACACUGAACAUUGAGCCUUGAUGUGUAGGAUAGGUGGGAGGCUUUGAAGCGUGGACGCCAGUCUGCGUGGAGCCGACCUUGAAAUACCACCCUUUAAUGUUUGAUGUUCUAACGUGGACCCGUGAUCCGGGUUGCGGACAGUGUCUGGUGGGUAGUUUGACUGGGGCGGUCUCCUCCUAAAGAGUAACGGAGGAGCACGAAGGUUGGCUAAUCCUGGUCGGACAUCAGGAGGUUAGUGCAAUGGCAUAAGCCAGCUUGACUGCGAGCGUGACGGCGCGAGCAGGUGCGAAAGCAGGUCAUAGUGAUCCGGUGGUUCUGAAUGGAAGGGCCAUCGCUCAACGGAUAAAAGGUACUCCGGGGAUAACAGGCUGAUACCGCCCAAGAGUUCAUAUCGACGGCGGUGUUUGGCACCUCGAUGUCGGCUCAUCACAUCCUGGGGCUGAAGUAGGUCCCAAGGGUAUGGCUGUUCGCCAUUUAAAGUGGUACGCGAGCUGGGUUUAGAACGUCGUGAGACAGUUCGGUCCCUAUCUGCCGUGGGCGCUGGAGAACUGAGGGGGGCUGCUCCUAGUACGAGAGGACCGGAGUGGACGCAUCACUGGUGUUCGGGUUGUCAUGCCAAUGGCACUGCCCGGUAGCUAAAUGCGGAAGAGAUAAGUG
rnacentral:rRNA from 1 species